AUGCCGGAGCCUCGUUGCACAGCAAUCGUUAAUUUUUUAAAUUUGAGCCACUCAAUCUUAAUCUCAAUAUUUUCAGUCAGUGUCAUGUCUAAUUACCAUCAUAAUCACAAUUAUCAGCAUCGCCCACGCGGAUAUGAAAGGCUUCCAGGAAAGAGACUCCCAGACAGAUGGAAUAUUUACGAUAACGUCGGCCGUGAUAUCGAUGGGACUCGAUUUGUUCCAUUCAAAACACCACUAGAUUCAUCAUUCUUCGAUGGGAAAAAUAUGCCUGUGGAGCUUCAAUUUGGUGUAAAAACAUUGAUUUCUCUGGCACAACAGGCUAAUAAACAAAUUGGAUUGGUUAUCGAUCUCACAAAUACGGAUAGAUAUUAUAAAAAGACGGAAUGGGCAGAUCACGGAGUCAAGUAUUUUUUAUAGGAAACUCAAUUGCCCCGGUCACGAGGUGAACGAACGAGAAGAUCUUGUGCAAGACUUCAUUAAUGCUGUUAAGGAAUUUGUGAACGAUAAAGAAAACGAUGGAAAACUGAUUGGCGUACACUGCACUCAUGGGCUCAACAGAACAGGAUACCUUAUUUGCCGGUAUAUGAUUGACGUGGAUAAUUAUAGUGCAUCCGAUGCGAUUUCUAUGUUUGAAUACUACCGUGGACAUCCAAUGGAGCGGGAACACUACAAAAAAUCAUUGUACGAAGCUGAAAGGAAGAAAAAAUACGGAAAAAGCAGCGGAAAAAGCAGCGGAAACUCAGCCGAUUCCACAAUUUCGAGUGAACAGUUGCAUCGAAAUAAUUCUCAAUAA
rnacentral:misc_RNA from 1 species